AUGGCCAAUGCGGGUCAAAGUGUAGUACCUGUUCUUAUCAGCUUAAUAUCUUAUACGGGUUGUAUUUGGACCCAAGAUAUUAUUAAACAUAUUUUUGCAAGUUCGUGGAGUGUUUGAAGCCUGCUCCACCUCUGCCGUGCGUUGGCCCAGUAUUGCACUACCUUCGGGAUCGGCCCAAGGCAU